GAUGAACGCUGGCGGCGUGCCUAAUACAUGCAAGUCGAGCGAACAGACGAGGAGCUUGCUCCUCUGACGUUAGCGGCGGACGGGUGAGUAACACGUGGAUAACCUACCUAUAAGACUGGGGUAACUUCGGGAAACCGGAGCUAAUACCGGAUAAUAUAUUGAACCGCAUGGUUCAAUAGUGAAAGACGGUUUUGCUGUCACUUAUAGAUGGAUCCGCGCCGCAUUAGCUAGUUGGUAAGGUAACGGCUUACCAAGGCGACGAUGCGUAGCCGACCUGAGAGGGUGAUCGGCCACACGGGAACUGAGACACGGUCCAGACUCCUACGGGAGGCAGCAGUAGGGAAUCUUCCGCAAUGGGCGAAAGCCUGACGGAGCAACGCCGCGUGAGUGAUGAAGGUCUUCGGAUCGUAAAACUCUGUUAUUAGGGAAGAACAAAUGUGUAAGUAACUAUGCACGUCUUGACGGUACCUAAUCAGAAAGCCACGGCUAACUACGUG
rnacentral:rRNA from 1 species